rnacentral:rRNA from 1 species
CCUACGGGAGGCAGCAGUGAGGAAUAUGGGGCAAUGGACGAGAGUCUGAACAAGCCAAGGAGCGUGAAGGAUGACUGCCCUAUGGGUUGUAAACUUCUUUUAUAUGGGAAUAAAACGUUCCACGUGUGGGAUUUUGUAUGUACCAUAUGAAUAAGGAUCGGCUAACUCCGUGCCAGCAGCCGCGGUAAUACGGAGGAUCCGAGCGUUAUCCGGAUUUAUUGGGUUUAAAGGGAGCGUAGGUGGAUUGUUAAGUCAGUUGUGAAAGUUUGCGGCUCAACCGUAAAAUUGCAGUUGAAACUGGCAGUCUUGAGUACAGUAGAGGUGGGCGGAAUUCGUGGUGUAGCGGUGAAAUGCUUAGAUAUCACGAAGAACUCCGAUUGCGAAGGCAGUUCACUGGACUGCAACUGACACUGAGGCUCGAAAGUGUGGGUAUCAAACAGGAUUAGAUACCCCUGUAGUC